ACAUGCCUACAACAUAGCUUUAAUGCAUUGGAUCCCAUUAGAACUCCGCAGUUAAGCGUGCUCGCGCUAGAGUAGUACUGGGAUGGGUGAUCUCUCGGGAAGUCCUAGUGUUUUACAUGCC
rnacentral:rRNA from 1 species